ACACGAAAAAGGCAAACCAUCCGAAAGGGUGGGACGCAAAGCCACUGGCCUAAACCCCGAAUCAUCGGGAUAUGGUAGCAGGGUUGCCGGU
rfam:Desulfococcus multivorans DSM 2059 ctg5, whole genome shotgun sequence.